GUUGAACGCUGGCGGCGGGCCUAACACAUGCAAGUCGAGCGAAGCGGGGACGGGUGAGUAACACGUGGAUAACCUCCUAUAAGACUGGGAUAACUUCGGGAAAACGGAGCCAAAACGGAUACUUAUAGCUGGUUCCGCGCCGCAUUAGCUAGUUGGUAAGGUAACGGCUUACCAAGGCAACGAUCCGUAGCCGACCGGAGAGGUGGAUCGGCCACACUGGAACUGAGACACGGUCCAGACUCCUACGGGAGGCAGCAGUGGUGAAUCUUCCGCAAUGGGCGAAAGCCUGAUGGAGCCAUGCCGCGUGUGUGAUGAAGGUCGUCGGAUUGUAAAACUCUGUUAUUGGGGAGGCGGUACCUACACAGAAAGCACCGGCUAACUACGUGCCAGCAGCCGCGGUAAUUC
rnacentral:rRNA from 1 species